rfam:Tetranychus urticae London genomic scaffold, scaffold_1
AAAUACUUUUGCGGAGUAGACUGGUCAAAUGGGUCUUAAACAAUCAAUCAUUUCGCCAAUCUACUGCAAAGAAGUAUUC